AUACUUAACUGGCAGGGAGAUACCAUAAUCACAAAGGUGGUUUUGCCAGGGCGAGGCUUGUCCACUG
rnacentral:snRNA from 1 species